rnacentral:rRNA from 1 species
UACGUAGGGUGCAAGCGUUAAUCGGAAUUGACUGGGCGUAAAGCGUGCGCAGGCGGCUUUGCAAGACAGAUGUGAAAUCCCCGGGCUUAACCUGGGAACUGCAUUUGUGACUGCAUGGCUGGAGUGCGGCAGAGGGGGAUGGAAUUCCGGGUGUAGCGGUGGAAUGCGUAGAGAUCCGGAGGAACACCGGUGGCGAAGGCGGGUCUCUGGGCCGAUACUGACGCGAGGAG